rnacentral:lncRNA from 1 species
UUCAUUUUGAUCUUGGACACUGUUUCCUAUCCUCUCCUGAUGCAUUACUCUACCUAGAGUUCUCUCUUCAUGAAUCUCUUCUGGCUCAUUUUUUUUCCUUGCGUGAACCCCAGUGAUGUCUUAGAAAGAUGCACUGGUUGUCAUGGUAAAAGCUACACUAAUUGGCUUCCUCUAGUUGAUGUUCUGUCAAGCACACUGCCCCACUGAGGAUUUGGAAUAGAGCGCUUAACUUUUUGCUUCUCAAAGAACAUGUUCCCAGCAAGUCAGCUGCCUCAGCAGAAAAUGGAAGGUGCUGUAAGGAAACUGCCUACGGCUCCUUUCCCAGGAUAAUAAGAAGUGCCUUUUGCCUCCGCCAUGAUUCUGACCCCCUCCCCGCCCAGCCAUGGGGAACUGUAAGUACAAUUAAACCUCUUUUUCUUCCUUUUUCCUUUUCUUUCUUCUCUUUUUCUUUUUCGUGUUCAUGCUUUUUAUCAGCAGCAUGAACACGAAAUAAUCUAGAUAAGAAGAACUCUGUUUCAGUGCAUGACAUGUAUUUGAUUUAAAGAAAUCAAGGGAACUUUGGUUUCUAUGGCAGUUGGAGACUUUUAGGCCACUUACUAUUAUUGUCUCAAUUUUAGCUUUUGCAUGUCUUACCAAUUCCAGCAAUAAAACCAAGCAUGUGAAAUAGGAAUUUUAUCUGAUUUAGCUUGAGUCUCAAUUCAUUUUCUUCUAACUCUCAACUCAGGUUACUCACUGAAGAGAACAUUUUUGACUGUAUUGAUUGGUCUCCUUUUAGAUGCUGUUAUUGAAUAUAUUCAUUUAAACCUUGUCUUUAGAAACAACGGAAUCCAUAGCAUGCUCAGUUUCUUUGCUUGCUCGCAGUAGUGAAAUAGUUAGAAAAUUUUUCUGUCUAUCUGAUAAAGAUUAUGUAAACACUUUGAAGUUUACAAUAAGCUUUGCAAUCCAUUUUUUAAUCCUUACAGCAAAACCAUACAGCAGGCUUAGCCUGAGCUGUUAGUAUUCUUUUAAAGAUGAGAGGAAAAUUCACUUGUUCCAGGUUUAUGCAGUCAGGACUGAAAAUCUAUUUUCUGCAUAGCACUAUCAGAUACCUUUCAUAUUGUUUGCUUAUUAGUUUUCUGUUUGUUAUCUGUUCCCUCUGCCAGAAGAAUGC